GCCUGCAGCCAUAUCACCCUGCAACUCACAACUGGCAACCCACUGAAGCUAAGCAGGUGUGAGCCUGGUCAGUACCUGGAUGGGAGACUGGGAGACCUCCUGGGAAAAACUACGGUUGCUGCUGGAA
rnacentral:rRNA from 1 species